GACGACACUUGUCCCAUGGUGAGUCUGAAAACUCGUGUGAUCUCGUCCACAUCACUCGGGCAAACUCGGAAUUUCUCAUCUUCUCAUACUCAACCUUGCACUUAUCAGCCUUAGCUACAUAGAGAGCCUUCUCCUACAAGAUUGUACAACUCAAAGGUCAAGAAAUACUCAAGCAUGUAACAGAACUUAUUAUGGACAACGAUGUAGCUGCGUCAUCUCCACCAUCUACUGCUGAUAUAUCUCCGACAUCCCCUUCUCCUGUUACGCUGCCACCGUGUAACACUCAACAAGUUGUUGAAACUCUAGGUCGUGGACAAAGACCUCGAGUACCUUCAGUCAAGCUCAAGGACUAUGUUACAUACAAUGCUAUACAUCUUGAAGACCCCUCGUCAUCUCUCUCACACGCCUGU
rnacentral:lncRNA from 1 species